rnacentral:rRNA from 1 species
UACGUAGGGGGCUAGCGUUGUCCGGAUUUAUUGGGCGUAAAGAGCGUGUAGGCGGCCAGGUAGGUCUGCUGUGAAAACUCGAGGCUCAACCUCGAGACGUCGGCGGAAACCAUCUGGCUAGAGUCCGGAAGAGGAGAGUGGAAUUCCUGGUGUAGCGGUGAAAUGCGCAGAUAUCAGGAAGAACACCCGUGGCGAAGGCGGCUCUCUGGGCCACUACUGACGCUGAGAAGCGAAAGCAUGGGGAGCGAACAGG